UAAUACACGCAAAUAAGCUCCAACCGUAUGGGCGGAGCGCAUUUAUUAGAACAAAACCAAUCGAGGCCUUCGGGUCUCGUACUAUGGUGAAUCUGAAUAACUCAGCUGAUCGCACGGUCCUCGCACCGGCGACGUAUCUUUCAAGUGUCUGCCUUAUCAACUUUCGAUGGUAGUUUAUAUGCCUACCAUGGUUGUAACGGGUAACGGAGAAUAAGGGUUCGACUCCGGAGAGGGAGCCUGAGAAACGGCUACCACAUCCAAGGAAGGCAGCAGGCGCGCAAAUUACCCACUCUCAGUACGAGGAGGUAGUGACGAAAAAUAACGAGACAGUUCUCUAUGAGGUCUGUCAUCGGAAUGGGUACAAUUUAAACCCUUUAACGAGGAUCUAUUGGAGGGCAAGUCUGGUGCCAGCAGCCGCGGUAAUUCCAGCUCCAAUAGCGUAUAUUAAAGUUGUUGCGGUUAAAAAGCUCGUAGUUGGAUCUGCGGUCUCGCGGGCCGGUCCCCCACAGGGUGUGACUGGUUUCGCAGGCCUACCUCGCUGGUUUUCCCUUGGUCCUCUUCACUGAGUGCCUUGGGUGACCAGUACGUUUACUUUGAAAAAAUUAGAGUGCUCAAAGCAGGCGCGUAGCCUGAAUAGUGGUGCAUGGAAUAAUGGAAUAGGACCUCGGUUCUAUUUUGUUGGUUUUCGGAGCUCGAGGUAAUGAUUAAGAGGGACAGACGGGGGCAUUCGUAUUGCUGCGUUAGAGGUGAAAUUCUUGGAUCGCAGCAAGACGGACAACUGCGAAAGCAUUUGCCAAGAAUGUUUUCAUUAAUCAAGAACGAAAGUAGAGU
rnacentral:rRNA from 1 species